rnacentral:ncRNA from 1 species
UAAAAAGCGAUGAAAAGCAGGAGUAGAUAAGUGCUCACCUGUAGCGAGUUUCCGGUUGGUGAAAGGAAAUGAUGGGUGCUCAUUGAAAGUAGGCUUGGAGCUGUAAAUGCAAUCUGAGUGUUUACUGGGUGCCACCAUUACCAAGGCCAGCGAAUCCGACUUCGGUCGUGCUCGCCAAGACGGCUUUUUUGCCGUAAAACCAAGGUGGUACCGCGCCGCAAGCGCCCUUCGA